rnacentral:rRNA from 1 species
UACGUAGGGUCCGAGCGUUGUCCGGAAUUACUGGGCGUAAAGGGCUCGUAGGCGGCCAACUAAGUCAGACGUGAAAUCCCUCGGCUUAACCGGGGAACUGCGUCUGAUACUGGAUGGCUUGAAUCCGGGAGAGGGAUGCGGAAUUCCAGGUGUAGCGGUGAAAUGCGUAGAUAUCUGGAGGAACACCGGUGGCGAAGGCGGCAUCCUGGACCGGCAUUGACGCUGAGGAGCGAAAGCCAGGGGAGCAAACGGG